ACCAGACUCCUACGGGAGGCAGCAGUGGGGGAUAUUGCACAAUGGGGGGAACCCUGAUGCAGCGACGCCGCGUGGGUGAAGAAGCGCCUCGGCGCGUAAAGCCCUGUCAGCAGGGAAGAAAAUGACGGUACCUGAAGAAGAAGCCCCGGCUAACUACGUGCCAGCAGCCGCGGUAAUACGUAGGGGGCAAGCGUUAUCCGGAUUUACUGGGUGUAAAGGGGGCGCAGACGGCGAUGCAAGCCAGGAGUGAAAUCCCGGGGCCCAACCCCGGGACUGCUCUUGGAACUGCGUGGCUGGAGUGCAGGAGGGGCAGGCGGAAUUCCUGGUGUAGCGGUGAAAUGCGUAGAUAUUAGGAGGAACACCAGUGGCGAAGGCGGCUUACUGGACUGUAACUGACGUUGAGGCUCGAAAGCGUGGGGAGCAAACAGGAUUAGAUACCCGAGUA
rnacentral:rRNA from 1 species